CGGAGCGGGACCGGAGCGGCUGCGGCUGCAAUGACAUCCCCCAGCAGCCUGCUUCAGGCGAAGCUGAAGAGCUGUAGCUCAGCCUUCCUUUGUGGCAGAGCUGUUCCAGCUCCCUGUCUCCUUCUGUGGCCUUCUCUGGCCCCGCUCUUAACUGGUUGAUGCCUUCCCUGUGCUGGGGAGCUGGAUGCAGCAGGUGAGGAGGAGCCACAGCAGAGUGCAGUAGAAGGGCAGAAUCGCCUGCCCUGCUCUGCUGAGCACUUUGAAGAGCCAGGUAAUGACACAGUGCCUUGAGUCAAAGCCUCUUUCCUCCUGUGUGCUUCUGCCUGACCUCUCCCUGCUCAUGGAACUCCGUUUCUGUGACAAAAGGUCCUGCAGCUGCAGCAGGAGCUUGUGCACGCUGGCAGAGUGCAGCCUCUGGCAGAGUCCUCCCACGAAGCCCAGAAGCUUUGCAGCAGCUGCCUGCAGCAGGAGAGCAGUGAGCUGCAGAGGGAGAAUGUCAGUUUGCAGGAGGAGCUGGAGAGAUCUGAAGCUAAGGGUCCAAUGUGAACAUUGCAGGCUGAGCAGCACAGCCCAGGAGCAAGCCAGGAGCACUGCAGCCCUUCAUAAAGACCUGCAAGCUGCUGCCUCGUGCCUGUGGAUGCCUUGGCCAGAAGGUGCAGCUCCACCCUGCAGCGAGCAGACCUCCCAAGAUGAACGUCCAGGACUCAGAAGGGACUCACUGCCACUGCCCAGAGCCGGAGGACCUGGCCUCGAUGGCAAGCUGCAGGGAGGCAUUCCUGGCUGGAGCGUGGCAAAGAGAGUUGGCCGUGGGCAGGCACAAGGUAGCAGGCCUGGCUGUGUGCUGCUCUCCAGCAGUGCCCCUGAGUGGAAGUGGAGCUGAGCCCAGCUCUGCUGUGCCCCCGUGCAGGGAGCUGCCUGCGAGCAGAGCCAGGCCUGGCACUGGAGCUUGCAAGGUGCUUCUGCACAUCAGCCCCUGGGCUUCCAGAGCUGCACAGGGCCUGGCAGGUGCAGGCUGCCUGCAGUGCCCCUGGGAGGGCAGGAAGGCUUUUCUGCCUGCCUUCAGGGAAAGCUGAGGCCC